GUGAGCCCCUCCCAGCCUGGCAAAUCUUUCUUCUCUGCUCUCCAACGCAGCGCCCAUCUGGAGCCCAAACCUUUGAAGGCCCUCUGCUGGGCAGGGCAGUCCAGCCACUUGAGAAGCCAAGGAAGGGUUAGUCCUGGAGGUGCCACGUUGCAGGGCUUCUCAGGUGGCACUGGUUGUGAAGAACCCACCUGCCAAUGCAGGAAACCUAAGAAUUACGGGUUCGAUCCCUGGGUCGGGAAGAUCUCCUGGAGGAGGAAAUGGCAACCCAUUCCAGUAUUCUUGACUGAAGAAUCCCAAGGACAGAGGAGCCUGGCAGGCCACAGUCCAUGGGGUCACACAGAGUCGGACAGGACUUGGCACAUCUCAUCCCUCACACCCAUGUUGUGUGGAAGGUGGCAGCUCUCUCCUACUUGGAUGGGCAGGCAGCCGAGGCACACAGAUUGGGAUCUGAACCCCACUCCACUGCCUCUCGUUUAUCCCAAAAGCCUGUUCCUUCAGAUUGUGGGGAGGACCAACUCCUCCUCAAGUGUCCUAGGUCAUAUCCAAUUCGUGCAGUCUCUCCCUCGGGACUUUGUCUAAGGGUAUCCGUGGGGUUCAGGCCAGGUUAGAGGGGGGCCAUGCUGCCUUCCUGCUCAUUACUUCCUGGUGAGAGCCACCCCUCCCCCAUUCUGGGAGCUGAUUUUGGCCAGUCUUUCCC
ensembl:lncRNA